UACGUAGGAGGCAGCGUGUCGAUCGAUCUGGGCGUAAAGCGCGCGUAGGCGGGGGAUUAAGUGAGAAGUGAAAGGCUGGGGCUCAACCCCAUGCAGUGCUUCUCAUACUGGUCCUCUUGAGGGCGGUAGAGAGAAGUGGAAUGGCUGGUGUAGCGGUGAAAUGCGUAGAUAUCAGUCGGAACACCGGUGGCGAAGGCGGCUUCUUGGGCCGUUUCUGACGCUGAGGCGCGAAAGCCAGGGGAGCGAACGGG
rnacentral:rRNA from 1 species